GUAGCGCCCUCCUUCUUCCUCCUCUUCGCUGAAUACAGCUCACGGUAAGUACUGGUUCACACAGUUCGUUCUCGGGGUGCUCACUCUCUUUCUCUUCCUCCACAGGCAACGGCUGGGACACAAAGGCACAGUUAAUUCGGCUUGGUUUUGCUCUCACCUCUUCGCUGAUUGCAGCUCACAGUAAGUACUGGUUCACACAGUUCGUUCCUUGGGUGCUCACUCGCUUUCUCUUUCUCCACAGGUAUCAACUUGGGCACAAUAGCACAGUUAGUUUGCUUUGAAUGGCUCUCACCUCUGGGCUGGACACAGCGUACUGUAAGUACAGGGUUCGCUCUAUUCCUCCUCGUGUUAUUCACUCUCUCUUUCCUUUCCUCUCCACAGGUAUCAACUUGGACGCAAAGCACAGUUACUCUGCUUUGGAUGGCUUUCACCUCUGGGCUGGACACAGCGUACUGUGCUAUCUCCGGAGAUCUGAAGCACGCUCACAACAU
ensembl:lncRNA